GGAUCCAGACUUUGAUCAUGGCUCAGGACGAACGCUGGCGGCGUGCUUAACACAUGCAAGUCGAACGAGAAGAGAUGAGAAGCUUGCUUCUUAUCGAUUCGAGUGGCAAACGGGUGAGUAACGCGUAAGCAACCUGCCCUCUAGAUGGGGACAACAGCUGGAAACGGCUGCUAAUACCGAAUACGUUCUUUCUGCCGCAUGGCAGAGGGAAGAAAGGGAGGCUCUUCGGAGCUUUCGCUGGAGGAGGGGCUUGCGUCUGGUUAGCUAGUUGGAGGGGUAACGGCCCACCAAGGCGACAAUUAGUAGCCGGUCUGAGAGGAUGAACGGCCACAUUGGGACUGAGACACGGCCCAGACUCCUACGGGAGGCAGCAGUGGGGAAUCUUCCGCAAUGGACGAAAGUCUGACGGAGCAACGCCGCGUGAACGAUGACGGCCUUCGGGUUGUAAAGUUCUGUUAUACGGGACGAAUGGUACGACGGUCAAUACCCGUCGUAAGUGACGGUACCGUAAGAGAAAGCCACGGCUAACUACGUGCCAGCAGCCGCGGUAAUACGUAGGUGGCAAGCGUUGUCCGGAAUUAUUGGGCGUAAAGGGCGCGCGGGCGGCGUCGUAAGUUGGUCUUGAAAGUGCGGGGCUUAACCCCGUGAGGGGACCGAAACUGCGAUGCUAGAGUAUCGGAGAGGAAAGCGGAAUUCCUAGUGUAGCGGUGAAAUGCGUAGAUAUUAGGAGGAACACCAGUGGCGAAAGCGGCUUUCUGGACGACAACUGACGCUGAGGCGCGAAAGCCAGGGGAGCAAACGGGAUUAGAUACCACGGUAGUCCUGGCCGUAAACGAUGGAUACUAGGUGUAGGAGGUAUCGACCCCUUCUGAGCCGGAGUUAACGCAAUAAGGGUCCCGCCUGGGGAGUACGGCCGCAAGGCUGCAACUAAA
rnacentral:rRNA from 1 species